GUCUCUUGUGAAAUCCUACGAUCUCAAGCGUGGGGCUUGCAGGGGAUACUGGUAAACUAGAGACCGGUAGACGUAAGGAGUACAAUCAAGGUAAUGGUUAAAUAUGUUAAUCUUGGUUGGACUAACAAUUAGCGAAGGCACCUUACGAGGACGGAUCUGACAGUGAGGGAUGAAGGCCAGGGGCGCAAAACGGAUUAGAUACCCGUGUAGUCCUGGCAGUAAACACUGUUCACUAAACAUCGGGCCCUCUUCGAGAGGAUUCGGUGCUGAAGGGAAGCUGUAGAGUGAACUACCUGGGAAGUAUAGUCGCAAGGUCGAAACUUAA
rnacentral:rRNA from 1 species